CCUAUCAACUUUCGAUGGUAGGAUAGUGGCAUGCCAUGGUUGUGAUGGGUGACGGAUAAUUAGGGUUCGAUUCCG
rnacentral:rRNA from 1 species